rnacentral:rRNA from 1 species
AAUGAACGUUGGCGGCAUGGAUUAGGCAUGCAAGUCGAGCGAGAAGUGUAGCAAUACACGGAAAGCGGCGGAAGGGAGAGUAAUACGUGGGAAUCUGCCCUUAGACCUGGGAUAGCAGCGGGAAACUGCUGGUAAUACCAGAUAAUGUCUAUGGACCAAAGGUGUGAUUCCGGCUAGGGAUGAGCCCACGUCCUAUUAGCUAGUUGGUAGGGUAAUGGCCUACCAAGGCGAUGAUGGGUAGCGGGUGUGAGAGCAUGACCCGCCUCACUGGGACUGAGACACUGCCCAGACACCUACGGGUGGCUGCAGUCGAGAAUCUUCGGCAAUGGGCGCAAGCCUGACCGAGCGAUGCCGCGUGCGGGAUGAAGGCCUUCGGGUCGUAAACCGCUGUCGAGGGGGAGCAACUUCCAUAGAGUUAUCCUUAUGGAUUGAGUGAUCCCUGGAGGAAGGACGGGCUAAGUUCGUGCCAGCCGCCGCUGUAAUAC